AUUGAACGCUGGCGGCAUGCCUUACACAUGCAAGUCGAACGGUAACGGGCCUUCGGGUGCCGACGAGUGGCGAACGGGUGAGUAAUGUAUCGGAACGGUACCUUUCAGUGGGGGAGUAACGUAGCGAAAGUUACGCUAAUACCGCAUAUUCUGUGAGCAGGAAAGCAGGGGAUCGCAAGACCUUGCGCUGAUUGAGCGGCCGAUAUCAGAUUAGCUAGUUGGUGAGGUAAAGGCUCACCAAGGCGACGAUCUGUAGCGGGUCUGAGAGGAUGAUCCGCCACACUGGAACUGAGACACGGUCCAGACUCCUACGGGAGGCAGCAGUGGGGAAGUUUUGGUACGAAAUAGGGGGCGGAACCCUACGAUCCACGCCACUGCCGCCGUGAGUGAAG
rnacentral:rRNA from 1 species